GAAUGGGGGGGGGCCUAUACAUGCAAGUCGAGCGGACAGAUGGGAGCUUGCUCCCUGAUGUUAGCGGCGGACGGGUGAGUAACACGUGGGUAACCUGCCUGUAAGACUGGGAUAACUCCGGGAAACCGGGGCUAAUACCGGAUGGUUGUUUGAACCGCAUGGUUCAGACAUAAAAGGUGGCUUCGGCUACCACUUACAGAUGGACCCGCGGCGCAUUAGCUAGUUGGUGAGGUAACGGCUCACCAAGGCGACGAUGCGUAGCCGACCUGAGAGGGUGAUCGGCCACACUGGGACUGAGACACGGCCCAGACUCCUACGGGAGGCAGCAGUAGGGAAUCUUCCGCAAUGGACGAAAGUCUGACGGAGCAACGCCGCGUGAGUGAUGAAGGUUUUCGGAUCGUAAAGCUCUGUUGUUAGGGAAGAACAAGUGCCGUUCAAAUAGGGCGGCACCUUGACGGUACCUAACCAGAAAGCCACGGCUAACUACGUGCCAGCAGCCGCGGUAAUACGUAGGUGGCAAGCGUUGUCCGGAAUUAUUGGGCGUAAAGGGCUCGCAGGCGGUUUCUUAAGUCUGAUGUGAAAGCCCCCGGCUCAACCGGGGAGGGUCAUUGGAAACUGGGGAACUUGAGUGCAGAAGAGGAGAGUGGAAUUCCACGUGUAGCGGUGAAAUGCGUAGAGAUGUGGAGGAACACCAGUGGCGAAGGCGACUCUCUGGUCUGUAACUGACGCUGAGGAGCGAAAGCGUGGGGAGCGAACAGGAUUAGAUACCCUGGUAGUCCACGCCGUAAACGAUGAGUGCUAAGUGUUAGGGGGUUUCCGCCCCUUAGUGCUGCAGCUAACGCAUUAAGCACUCCGCCUGGGGAGUACGGUCGCAAGACUGAAACUCAAAGGAAUUGACGGGGGCCCGCACAAGCGGUGGAGCAUGUGGUUUAAUUCGAAGCAACGCGAAGAACCUUACCAGGUCUUGACAUCCUCUGACAAUCCUAGAGAUAGGACGUCCCCUUCGGGGGCAGAGUGACAGGUGGUGCAUGGUUGUCGUCAGCUCGUGUCGUGAGAUGUUGGGUUAAGUCCCGCAACGAGCGCAACCCUUGAUCUUAGUUGCCAGCAUUCAGUUGGGCACUCUAAGGUGACUGCCGGUGACAAACCGAAGGAAGGUGGGGAUGACGUCAAAUCAUCCUGGCCCCUUAUGACCU
rnacentral:rRNA from 1 species